rnacentral:rRNA from 1 species
GAAGGAAAGCUUGCUUUUCUGAAUCUAGUGGCGAACGGGUGAGUAACACGUAGGUAACCUGCCCAUGUGCCCGGGAUAACUUCUGGAAACGGAUGCUAAAACCGGAUAGGUAGCAGACAAGCAUUUGACUGCUAUUAAAGUGGCCUUGGCCAUGAACAUGGAUGGACCUGCGGUGCAUUAGCUGGUUGGUGAGGUAACGGCCCACCGAGGCGACGAUGCAUAGCCGGCCUGAGAGGGCGGACGGCCACAUUGGGACUGAGACACGGCCCAAACUCCUACGGGAGGCAGCAGUAGGGAAUUUUCGUCAAUGGGGGGAACCCUGAACGAGCAAUGCCGCGUGAGUGAGGAAGGUCUUCGGACCGUAAAGCUCUGUUGUAAGAGAAAAACGGCACUCAUAGGGAAUGAUGAGUGAGUGAUGGUAUCUUACCAGAAAGUCACGGCUAACUACGUGCCAGCAGCCGCGGUAAUACGUAGGUGGCGAGCGUUAUCCGGAAUGAUUGGGCGUAAAGGGUGCGUAGGUGGCAGAUCAAGUCUGGAGUAAAAGGUAUGGGCUCAACCCGUACUGGCUCUGGAAACUGAUCAGCUAGAGAACAGAAGAGGACGGCGGAGCUCCAUGUGUAGCGGUAAAAUGCGUAGAUAUAUGGAAGAACACCGGUGGCGAAGGCGGCCGUCUGGUCUGGAUUCUGACACUGAAGCACGAAAGCGUGGGGAGCAAAUAGGAUUAGAUACCCUAGUAGUCCACGCCGUA